AGCAAUCAGCAAGACUCCGUGGGCGUAGGACCCUCCGAGCCAGGAAUACUAUGACAAAGGAGAUUACAUCAUUAGAGAGGGCGAGGAAGGAAGUACCUUUUUCAUUUUGGCAAAAGGAAAGGUAAAAGUAACACAGAGCACAGAAGGCCAUGAUCAACCACAGCUGAUAAAAACACUGCAGAAAGGAGAAUACUUUGGAGAAAAAGCUCUUAUCAGUGAUGAUGUCAGGUCAGCUAACAUUAUUGCUGAAGAAAAUGAUGUUGCAUGCCUGGUUAUAGAUCGAGAAACAUUCAACCAAACUGUCGGUACAUUUGAAGAGCUGCAAAAAUACCUUGAAGGAUAUGUGGCAAACCUGAACCGUGAUGAUGAAAAAAGACAUGCGAAGCGGUCCAUGUCUAACUGGAAGCUGUCCAAAGCACUCUCUCUGGAAAUGAUUCAGCUGAAGGAGAAGGUUAAAGUAAAAAAUGAGAAUGUUGCUUUUGCUAUGAAGUGU
rnacentral:lncRNA from 10 species